rnacentral:rRNA from 1 species
UACGAAGGGGGCUAGCGUUGCUCGGAAUGACUGGGCGUAAAGGGCGCGUAGGCGGAUGGCACAGUCAGAUGUGAAAUUCCUGGGCUUAACCUGGGGGCUGCAUUUGAUACGUGUGAUCUGGAGUGAGGAAGAGGGUUGUGGAAUUCCCAGUGUAGAGGUGAAAUUCGUAGGUUUUGGGAAGAACACCGGUGGCGAAGGCGGCGACCUGGUCCUUAACUGACGCUGAGGCGCGAAAGCGUGGGGAGCAAACAGG